rnacentral:rRNA from 1 species
CCUACGGGAGGCAGCAGUGGGGAAUCUUAGACAAUGGGCGCAAGCCUGAUCUAGCCAUGCCGCGUGAGUGAUGAAGGCCUUAGGGUCGUAAAGCUCUUUCGCCUGUGAUGAUAAUGACAGUAGCAGGUAAAGAAACCCCGGCUAACUCCGUGCCAGCAGCCGCGGUAAU